rnacentral:rRNA from 1 species
GAUGAACGCUGGCGGCGUGCCUAAUACAUGCAAGUCGAGCGAACAGACGAGGAGCUUGCUCCUCUGACGUUAGCGGCGGACGGGUGAGUAACACGUGGAUAACCUACCUAUAAGACUGGGAUAACUUCGGGAAACCGGAGCUAAUACCGGAUAAUAUAUUGAACCGCAUGGUUCAAUAGUGAAAGACGGUUUUGCUGUCACUUAUAGAUGGAUCCGCGCCGCAUUAGCUAGUUGGUAAGGUAACGGCUUACCAAGGCAACGAUGCGUAGCCGACCUGAGAGGGUGAUCGGCCACACUGGAACUGAGACACGGUCCAGACUCCUACGGGAGGCAGCAGUAGGGAAUCUUCCGCAAUGGGCGAAAGCCUGACGGAGCAACGCCGCGUGAGUGAGGAAGGUCUUCGGAUCGUAAAACUCUGUUAUUAGGGAAGAACAAAUGUGUAAGUAACUAUGCACGUCUUGACGGGACCUAAUCAGAAAGCCACGGCUAACUACGU